CACCUCGGCCUUCAUCCACCGUACUAACUUAAAGCUGUAUCAAUACCUUUUCACCAACUGCACCUUACAAAAUUCUUGCUUUAUCUUUUUCCGUCCAUUCAUUUCCCACGUUUCCAAAUCUGAAUUUCGCCAAUAGAAGGAAAUUCGAGAUUCGGACUACUUUUUGUCAUUUUGAUUGUAGAAUCAAUUAUUUUUGUUGGAGCGCAAAAUCUUGAUGAGGAUGGCGUUGAAGUGCUUUGCAAUACGGAUCUCACAUCAUUUCUUCCUCUUCCAUACGGCGAUCUCCAAAAUAUGGUUCGUAAACCUGUUUGGAAUUCAUAUCUUCUAAGGGUAAGUUCAUGUAAAUCUUUCAUUCCUAAUACUAAUAAUUUUCAAUAUAUUACUAGUUUAAUAUUUAUUCUCAAUAAAUAGAAUGACAUCAAACUGGGGAAUGUGUUUUCUAUAUAUAUGGGAUUAGAUAGAUGCAUACCUUUCGACGGUUUUGUAGAUUCAAGGCUAUGAAGAUACUUAUAGUCGAGUCACUUUGUCCAUGACCGUGUAGUGUAGAGCCUAAUUAUAUGGUUCAACAUAAAUGAGCUCAAGGGGGCAGUUUUUGUUUGGAGUGACAGACAAUAUAACCCAUUUUGGCAGAUAAAUUACAGAGAAGCGUGAAUGUCCACUAUAGACUCCUCGAUUUUAAUAUGUAGUGAAGUAGCUCUUAUAUUGAGUGUGAACCAUGGAAAUGUUGGUGUCUCUAUAUAUAUUGUCUAUUCAUUAUUUGCUCUCGGCUUUGGGAUUAGGGCAUCGAUAAAAGAAAUAAGCUAAAAGAAAGUGGAAUUUUUGUUUGCUGAUUCAUGUAUAUUUAAUAUGCACAGUUGUUUAUACGUUGAGAAUGGCACUACAAGUUUGAUGGUCCCUAGCUUGGUUGGAUUGUUAGAACAAUUUCAUGUAACGUGGCCAAGUAAUAGUAUUAAUAAACUAAUUAAAGUAAUUUAUUGUUGCUAAAAUUCAAUUAGCCCAUUGUAAAGUGGUAAAUUUAUAACUGUCCACUUUGAUGAAAAGAGGGUAGUUUUUAUGAUCCAUGAGAAACUAAAUCCAUCAAGUUAAACAUUCAAUUACAGAGAUGAAAAGAGAGAGAAGGUUUAAAUUAUUCAAAUUAUUGCCAUGUAUCAAUGUAUGUUUAUUGAUUAAUUAAAUUAAAUUUAUAUGUGAAAAUCAUGAAUUCUUAAAAUCUUGGUAUUAGGGUUAAUAACUUACAUGUGGUAUCAGAGCCAAGGUUAUGAAAUUCUUGAUUUUCCUUUGAAUAUUAUAGAUUUUUUUACUUAUCGAUCCUUAAUUAUUUUUUAUAGAUUUAUGAAUUAAGGUUUGUUGAUUAUGAUUUGUUUGCGGGAAGAUCAUUAUCUCAUUUUAAGUUUUUUUUAAUGUGAGUUUGGUUCUGCUUUGAAAAGGUCAGUGCCUGUAAAGUGUUAAAUAAAAAAAAAAAAUGACAUAUACAAACUAAUUAAUAGACGAAAAAAGACAUUGGCAGAAUUGUAUGUACAGUAAGUUUUUUAUUGUUUUAGGCUAUUAAGCAUUUAUUAUUUUCAGAUUCAGAAUUAAUUUGAAUUAUAGAUUAAAUUAGAUUAUGUUUAGUUUAAUUACUUACUUUUUAUGUUUUAUUUAUGUAACUAAUGCUUGAUUAAUAUUGUUUGUUAGUCACCAAAAUGACUACACCUUAUGGUAUUUUGUAUACUAAAUUACAUAAUAUAUUUGUCAAUUAUUCAUGAUAGUUUGAUGCUUAUAAACGAAAAUGACAUUAUUAUUGUUACUGUCAGGAGUAUCUUGACGUUCAUAGAUUAUAAAAUUGUUAUGGAUCGCCCAAAGGUUGAUCAAUUAGUUUUAUUAAUUUGAACAUAAUCGUGGUUAAUUAAUAUACUUAGUCGGAUGUAUUUUGUAUAUCCGAAGAUAUGAUACAUGUUUGAUUAGAGUAUAUUCAAUUACCAAUUGAGUGAAAUUAAAUUAGCAUCAUUACGUUUAUUAUGAUGGUAUAACGAAGUAUAACCCGAAAGAGAACUAUGGUAUACAUUUAUUGUUAUCUAAAUCUGAAUUUAAGUGUUUAAAUCUAAACUCAAAGCACUAAUGUUAGAGCAUUUUAUAUUUUUACAACAUUUGUUCCUGUUUCUCUACAUUCGUAUGUUUCAUCUGUAUCACUGUUCAAUGGGCUCAAUUUCUCUAACUAGUGUGAGCAAGUCCAGUUCAACUUAGACGUUUUGAACUUAGACUUGGCAUUUCAAGUUGAGAGACCUACUGAUCUCACUAAUAAGAGCAGUGCUGAUGAAAGAUAUUUCCAUAAAGCUUGGGAAAGAUAAAAUAGAUUAAGCCUAAUAUUUAUGUGGAUAACCUUAGCAAAGAAUAUUAAGUCUACUAUUCCUAAAACUAAGAUUGUUAAGGAAUAUAUGAAGUUUGUGGAAGAACGUUUCCAAACUUGUCAGUUGUUGGCACACUGAUGAGUACUUUAACCACCAUGAAAUUUGAUGGUUCUUGUACUAUGCAUCAGCAUGUUAUUGAAAUGGGUUAACAUUGUAGCAAGACUCAAGACUCUUGGGAUGACUGUGGAUGAGAACUUUUUGGUACAGUAUAUUAUCAAUUUCUUGCCUCCUGAGUAUGAUCUAUUCCAUAUGAACUGUAAUACCUUAAAGGAUAAAUAGAAUGUAAAUAAAUUGCAUAGUAUGCUCACACAAGAGAAGACAAGGCUUAAGAAUCAACAAACUCAUUUAGUUCAUCUAGUAAGUAAUUAAGGAGUUGGAAAGAAAUAUAAGAAAAUGUUUGGAAAGGGAAUUAAGCAAGGAUCAUUAAAGAUAAAUGAGUCUUCUGCCCAAAUCCACAAUAGGAACAUAAGAAAGAUACGUGCCAUUUCUUUGGCAAACUUGGACACCAUAAAAGGGAUUGCUUGAAAUGUAACUUAUGGUUCGAAAGUAAAUGUAAGAUUAUUUCUUAUAUAUGUUUUGAAUCUAAUUUGGCAGAAAUUCCUUAUAAUACUUGGUAGAUUGAUUCUGAAUGUAUUAUGCAGAGAUUCCUUUCAAUCCAGACCAUAAAUCUAAAUAAAAAGUUUAUUCUCAUGGGAAAUCGAGUCAUAGCUCCAGUUGAAGCCAUUGGAACCUAUCGUUUGAUUUUAGAUAUUGGACAUAAUUUAGAUUUAUUUCAAAUCUUUAUGUACAUUCCAUUUCUCGCAAUUUAAUUUCCUUAUUGAAAUUUGAUUCUGCUGAAUAUUUCUGUUAUGAUGGAAAUAGAUGUUUAAAUUUGCUUAAGCAAAAUCAUCUUAUCAGUUUCCCUAUUCUUUAUGAUUUUUUAUAUAAAUUAUUGCUCGAUAACCUCUUUGCCAAAACUCUUUUGACCUUGCGCAUAAUUUUGGUGCUAAACGUGGUUUAAUGAAUGAAUGAUCUGCUAACAUGCGGCAUAAACAUUUGGGUCACAUAUCCAGGAAAAUGAUAGAAAGAUUAGUAAAGAAUAAAAUCCUUCCCGACUUAGAUUUUAGUGAUCUUGAAACGUGUAUGGAUUGUAUUAAGGGUAAACUAACCAAUCACACAAAGAAACGAGCCAUAAAAAGCACAUAGCUUCUUAAGAUAAUAUACACUGAUAUAUGUGGGCCUUUCGAUGUUCCAUCCUUUAGUGGAGAAAGGUAUUUUAUCACCUUUAUUAAUAAUUUUUCACAUUAUGAUUAUGUCUAUCUGCUGCAUGAAAAGUCUCAAACUGUAAAUAUUUUAGAUAUUUUUGUCAAUGAAUUUGAACGAUAAUUAGACAAAAUGUGAAAAUUAUUAGAUCUGAUAAAAGUGGUGAAUAUUAUGGAAGGUGUGAUGAAACUGGACAACAGACUGGUCCAUUUGCUAAAUUUCUUAAAAUACAUGGCAUAUGUUCUUGAUACACUAUGCCAAGCACAUCACAACAAAAUGGUGUGGCUGAAAUGCAUAAUUGUACUCUAAUAGAAAUGGUUAGGUGUUUGUUAAGCAAUUCAUCUUUACUCAUUUCCUUGUGGAUGUAAGCAUUAAAGACUACUAUAUAUUUGCAAAACAGAGUUUCUAGUAAGGCAGUUCCAAAAAUCCCUUUUGAAAUGUGGACAAUAAGAAAACCCGAUUUAAAGAACUUGCGUGUUUGGGGUUGCUUGGCAGAAGCAAGAAUUUAUAAUCCAUAUAAAAAGAAAUUGAACUGAAAAACAAUAAAUGAAUUUUUCAUUGGUCAUCUAGAAAAAUCGAAGGGGUAUAUGUUUUAUUGUUCUAACCAUAAUAUUAGAAUUGUUAAAUCUGGAAAUGCUAGGUUCAUUAAGACUGCGAAGUUAGUGGGUGUUUGGAACCACGAAAUGUGGAAAUACAAAAGGUUAGAGUUCAAGUUUCUCUACCCUCAACUUCCUCUACUAUUGUUCCUCAAAUUGUUGAACAAUAUGACAAUGUACCAGAACAACAAAUAAAUGAUCAAACAUCUCAAAAUGAAGCUGCUACUAAUAAACCUACACUAAAUGAAUCACAAAAAAUAGCAUUAAGAAGGUCACAAAGACAACGUAGACCUACUAUUUAUGAUGAUUAUGUGGUUUACCUACAAGAGUAUGAAUUUGACAUGGGAAUUGUUGAUGAUGAUUCAGUUUCAUUUUCACAAGCCAUUGGGAGUGCUAAUUCUAAUGAAUGGUUAGAUGCUAUGAAAAACAAGUUGAAAUCUAUGGAGCACAAUGAAGUCUAAAAUCUCAUCGAAAAUUAUUUGAAUCAUGUAAAAGAGUUGGGUGUAAAUGGGUCUUUAAUACCUAGGGCGACUCUAAUGGUAAUGUCAAAUGAUAUAAAGCUAGACUUGUUGCCAAAGAUUUUACUUAAAAAGAUGGCAUUGAUUAUAAGAAGACAUUUCGCCAGUCUUAAAAAAAUACUUAUAAUGGCUAUGACUUAGAGCUAUAUCAAAUGGAUGUGAAAAUCACAUUUCUAAAUGAAAAUUUGAACAAAGAAGUUUAUAUGGAUCAAGUUUGAAGGUUUUUCAGUUGAAAAAAAGAUGAAAAAAUGGUGUGUAAGUUGAAGAAAUCAAUAUACGGAUUUAAACAGACUUCCCAUCAGCGACAUUUUAAGUUUAACAAUACCAUUACUUCCUUUGAAUUUAAGGAAAACAUUGUUGAUCAAUGUAUAUAUCUAAAGGUCAAUGGUAGAAAGUUUAUAUUUUUUAUUCUCUAUGUUGAUGACAUCUUGUUAGUUACUAAUGACUUUAGUCUAUUACAUGAGAUGAAGAAAUUUCUCUCUAAAAAUUUUGAAAUGAAACAUAUGAGAGAGGCAACCUAUGUGAUUGGAACUGAAAUAUUUCAGGAUAGGUCACAAGGAUUGUUAGGGUUGUCUCAGAAAACUUAUAUUAAUAAAAUUUUAGAGAGAUUUAAGAUGAAAAAUUGUUCAGCGAGUAUCAUUCUAAUUUAGAAAGGAGACAAAUUUAACCUUAUGUAAUGUCCUAAGAACGAAUUGGAACACAAAUAAAUGAAAGAUAUUCCUUAUGCAUCUCUUGUUCAGAACUUAAUGUAUGCUCAGGUUUUUGCUAGACCAGACAUCAGUUUUACUGUUGAAAUGUUGGGUAGGCAUCAAAAGAACCCAGGACUUGAUUAUUGGAAAGCUGCAAAGAAAGUAUUAAGAUACUUGCAAAGAACGAAAGACUACGUGCUCACUUAUAGGAGAAACUUGGAGGUCAUUGGACAUUCAGAUUCAGACUUUGCUGGAUAUGUGGAUACUAGAAAGUCUAUAUUUGACUAUCUAUUUCUUUUGGCUGAAAGAGUUAUAUCAUGGAAAAGUGCGAAGAGGUACAUUCACUAUGAAAGCUGAGUUUGUGGUAUGCUUUGUGGCCACAAUUCAAGAAAAUUGGUUGCGGAACUUUAUCUUAGAGCAUGGGAUUGUCAACAGUAUUACCAAGCCGCCGAAACUUUAUUGUGAC
rnacentral:lncRNA from 1 species